UUGGGAUGAGCUUAAUUGUAUGUGAUGAAAAGGUUCAAGUUUGGGGUUGUACGAGGGAAAAUUGAAAAAGCAAGUAAAGGGCAUUGAGCUCAAUUGUUGUGAAAAGAGAAAAAUUCAUGAGAAAAAGAAAAGAAAAGAAGAAAAGCAUGAAAAUGAGCUCAAUGAAAAAGAAAAGAAAAGGGAAGAAGUGGGGAAUGAGAGACAAUGGUGAGAGAGUUGUGGUUAUAUGUUGAAUAUUUUGUUAGCUCUCUUGACUCAAGGAUUUUGCAUUCUAGAAAAACCAAUUUUUCUUGUUAGCCCAACCUCAUUACAAGCCUUGAAAAAGUCCUUUUGAUGGCAUUUGCAUGUAUAGAUGUUGAUUGUUUGAGAUGAAUGGCAAUUUUGUUUCAUGUAACUUGUG
rnacentral:lncRNA from 1 species